GUCUAUAUGAAGGUGUAUAUAGUUUGGCCUGCUCACUGAUUAUAUUAAAGAGCCGCAGUAUUUUGACUGUGCGAAGGUAGCAUAAUAAAUUGUCUUUUAAAUGGAGGCUUGAAUGAAAGGUUGGACAAAGUAUCAUCUGUUUCUUAAAUAUUUAUUGAAUUUGACUUUCAAGUGAAAAGGCUUGAAUAAAUUAAAAAGACGAUAAGACCCUAUAAAUCUUUACAAUAAACAUAUUUUAUAUUUUUAUUUAUUAAGUGAAUGAGAUAUUAAAUUUGUAGUUGUUUCGCUGGGGCGGCGUAGAUAUAUAAAUGAACUGUCUAUAAUUUUAAAUACAAUAAUUAUUGAUUAAUGAAAUUGAUCCUUAAAUAGAUUAAAAGAUUAAGAUACUUUAGGGAUAACAGCGUUAUUUUUUCUGAGAGUUCUUAUCGAAGAAAAAGUUUGCGACCUCGAUGUUGAAUUAAAGUAUCUUUAUGGUGCAGUCGCUAUAAGAGAGAGUCUGUUCGACUUUUAAUACUUUACAUGAUUUGAGUUCAGACCGGCGUAAG
rnacentral:rRNA from 1 species